GAAUUGUUCGCAAUGGGCGCAAGCCUGACGACGCAACGCCGCGUGGGGGAUGAAGGUCCUCGGAUUGUAAACCCCUGUCGAGCGGGACGAAUGGCCCGCGACCUAAUACGUCGUGGGAGUGACGGUACCGCUAAAGGAAGCCACGGCUAACUCUGUGCCCGCAGCCGCGGUAAUACAGAGGUGGCAAGCGUUGUUCGGAAUUACUGGGCGUAAAGGGCGCGUAGGCGGCCUCCUAAGUCAGACGUGAAAUCCCCCGGCUCAACCUGGGAACUGCGUCUGAUACUGGGAGGCUUGAGUGCGGGAGAGGGAUGUGGAAUUCCAGGUGUAGCGGUGAAAUGCGUAGAUAUCUGGAGGAACACCGGUGGCGAAGGCAGCAUCCUGGACCGACACUGACGCUGAGGCGCGAAAGCUAGGGUAGCAAACGGG
rnacentral:rRNA from 1 species